rnacentral:ncRNA from 1 species
UAAUGAGCGAUGAGGAAGAAGAGUAGGCAGUUGAAAGGUUUAAGAGAGCUGAUGGUUGGUGCGAAUCAGUACGGAUUGAUUGUUGAAUGGGCUUCGGAGCUUCAAGGCUGAACCAAUAGUAGGCUGCGCGGAAACGUCUUACCGUUAAAAAAGACAAAGUAUAAGAAACGGCUAUGUUUCUGUACGGAUAAGUGCGUUUAUCGGAUAUAAACGAAUGAAGGUGGCACCACGGGUUACUCGUCCUUUUU